UCUAAUAGUCAUCCAAUAUCAUACAUGAGUUUAAAAAUAAAUAAAAAGUACUUAACAAGCCAUAAAUGCGAAAUACCUAACUGAAAUAAUUUAGGACAGCCACAAACUAAAAGAGAGAAUUAUUACUGCCCUAUAAAAAUGAAUAACAUACAAAGAAUACAAUGAAAAAAGAAUCCACCUAUUGUAGAAAACUCAUUCAUGAUACGAACUCCUCAUUUUGCAGCUGCAAACUUGAAAUAAGCUCUUUAUUGUGUAGUUGCAAAACUUGC
rnacentral:lncRNA from 1 species